AAAGCAAUGCAAACUAUUUUCAAAACAUAUAUUCCCUCUGACUUUAAAACUAUGUAUUUAGGAUACAAAACUCCAGAAAUGAAAGAGAUAGAUGGAUAUCUUUGGAAUAUACUACUAGCUGCUGGGAAAAAAGCAAUAACAAAAAAUUGGUUCACACAAAGUGAACCAACUGUUAGGGACUGGAAUGAGGUGACAAUGGGGAUUAUAGAAUGGAAAAAAUUACAUUCUCUGUAAAUCUAAUGAUGGACUGUUUUGUUGAAACCUGGAAAAAGUGGGAGAAAUAUGCCAAACAAUGUAUACCCAAUUAUGUUUAAAGGACUACCCAACUGUUGUAUACUUUUAGGCCCCUAUAAUACACCUUUCAUAAUAAGCUUUAAUCUUUGAUGUCUAAUAUAGCUACACAUAUUAUUGUUCCCUCUCUGGAAUUUUUUUGUUUUUUUGUCUGAAGCAGCAAUUUCACAUAACUGGUUUCAUCCACAAAGUCCUUGCAAGCCUACAACUUCACCUGCUGAUCCAGGCAGCUAUUUCAGACAGCGAAUGUUUCUGUGGGCACCAAUGCGGAUGUGGGGCAUUCCUCUAAAAUGCACUGAGUGUAGUAUGAAAAUGCACCAUUCUGGUGUUUACACAAAAGUGAGGAAAGACAUUGACUCCAGGUAUUGUCUCAUUGGAGCAGACUACCCUUGCUGUGGGUUUCCAGAGAGCAUGACGGGUGUGGGAGGUACAAAAAAGGCACUUGCCAUGCAUCCAAGAUCCACCUGGUGUACAGAUUUACACAAAACUGGGCACUGGGUUAAAGGGCGACAAGUUAUCGGAUGUUCUGAGGUGUGGCAGAGUGUCCUCUUCUCUGGAGAGCUUCCAUCACCACCAGUGUAAUUUUAUGCCAGGUGAGCAUAUUGCUGUGGAGUACAAGCUGGCACAGUCUAACAGAGGGGAUCUGCUGGCUCCUCUGCAGCAUGCUGAAAUAGGCAUCACUCUGCCAGAGGUGCAAGUUGAAGUUCAGGAGGAUGAGUGUCUGGAUGUCAGUCACACAUUACACAUGUAACUGAUAACCCACUUCACACACACCUAGCAGCCCUGAUAUACUUGCUGACUCCUCAUACCAGGUAAUGUGAUAUUUUUUGAUCUGAAAUUAUCUAGUGAAAGUUAAUUUACAGUUUCUCUGUAAAUUGAGUUGUUGCAUGAAUCUACAGGUAAUAUUUUGUUUAGCAUUUUUUUAGUUUAUUCCUGUCUAACAAUGUUUACAAAUGCAUAAUUUAGGAAACCAGUCUUGGAAGCAGUGGCCCUCAUCUUACUGACAGUGACAUUGAGGAUAUUUAUUCUUGUGUACCCAACGCAUUGGUUCUAUUGGCUAAAGUCUAAAUCUGUACAUUGUAAAAUGUGAAGAUUUUUUUUUUUUUUAUGUAAAUUAAGGGUUUUUUUUAAUGGAUGCACACAUUUUGUAAUUUACAUACAGACUGUGGAAGUAUUUUUCUGACAGUUUUCUAAAGGAAUUGUGUAAAUUAUCAUGUCACAAUAGCAAUUAUCUUUUUUAUUUGAAAAUUGACAGAAUGGUCGUUUGUGCGAGAAACAAAAAAUAGUCAUUUGUGAUUUGCAUUUUCUGAAAUAAUAUUCUGUAUAUUUUGCUGAUGCUGUUAUUGAAACAAUUGUAGUGAUAGAAUAUUGAUCAUGCAUUACACAAACAAUGCAUCUGUUUAUCCACAGACUGUUCAUGACUCAUGGCCAGGCUGCCCAGAGACCUGACGCCAACAGGAUUUCUGUGUGCAUUGCUAAUUGUGUUGUAAUGUAAUGUGUUGCUAAAUUGCUAAAUGAAUGUGUUGCGCUAAAGCUUUUGAAGGAAUACAGGGAAGCAAGAAAUAGGCCUAAAAACAACAAGGGAAAAACCUUUCCCAUUCCACAGGCAACUGUGAUGACGUACUGUCACGUCAAGCAGCUGCUUGAAGACUGCAAAGAGCUGCUGGACCGGACCAACCUGGUUUUAGUAACCAUAAAUAACACUACAGUUUCUUCUUGGACUUUCCCCAGCAGAUCAGUGUGGCAAAAGAUUUACUGCCAAAACCUAGAGGGCUCCCAUCAGCAUCUGUUGAACAUGGACAAACUCUCAUUGAGUUCUAGGAGCCUGGAAAUCUUGAGGGUGAGGCAGUAAUUCACUGCCAUAAGCAUGCAAGAACUGAGACUGCAGUGUCACAGACUCAUGCAGCAUGUGAAACUUCUUUCUGGCCUGGGGUCCAGCAUGAUCCUGAGUGGUUUAACUGGCCUGGGUUUUCAGAUCAGCAGUGUCAUCACCCAUCAGCACCAGCACCUCUGCCUCAGGGCCUCCGCCAGGGUAAGCUGACCACGGAAAAAACCUCCUCGCUACUUUGGAUUCUAAGCUGCAUUUUUAUGCCCUGGCUCGAUUUCACAGUGCUGCCCAUAGAUGAUUGCCGAGUGAACCAACUACACUGCCUUGUUGUGUUGUCGAUGGAGACUCUGUGCAUAGUCUCAACCUGGAGCUUAUGAACUUUAGAUUAAGGCCUACUGUAGCAUGUUCAACAAUCGGGAAAAAAAGAAAGGAAAAUCUAUUCCCAGCAGAGGUUCGAACGCUUAACAGCAGGUCUGAGCUUCUUUUUGCCAGAACAUGGGUGGAAAUUGCUCAUUGAUUACAAGGUUAGUUUAUACUACUGGCCUGAUACCAACCACACUGCCUCGUUGUGUUGCUGUUGGACCCUGUGCAUGGUCCCUACAUUAAGUCACUAACCAUCAAAAGAAAGAGCUUUGGAAGGCACAAAAAAUAAAUGUAUCAAUUUGUGAACUAAUAAUUAAAAAAAAAAACACGUGAAACGUGUAGCUUGGAGUCGUGGCCGCACCCUGCAGUGAAUGGACUGCAAAUCAUGUCCUAACAAGUCCUAACAUGCUACAAAAAACCUAACAAUUCCUAACAGAAAUCCUAACAAAUCCUAACAAGUCCUAACAAAUCUGAACGGCAAAUCCUAACAAGUCCUAACGGGGCAAAACACUCAUUGGCUGAAGCAGGAGGUUGGGACAGGGAUAAUCUCUCAUUGGCUGAAGCAGGAGUUUGGGACAGGGAUAAUCUCUCAUUCGCUGAAGCAGGAGGUUGGGCCGGGGAUAAUCUCUCAUUCGCUGAAGCAGGAGGUUGAGGCUGGAAAACGCCCAUUGGCCGAAGCAAUAUCACGUAACUUGUGAGAAGGAGGUCACUUUAAUUCGCGAUCCUGACAUAUAUAUUUACUGCUAUAACAGACACAUUUACUCUCCUUUUGGACCUUUCGGCAACCUAUCGGCAACGUGCAGGUGAGUACGGUUGUUGAUUUGGCUAACUUUAUUGUUUAGUCAUUGGUU